CCUCACUGUUGGUAUCUCUUCCCAUGUGUUUACUUCCCCUUUGACCCUGUCUGCCAUAGUUUGACUUAGCAUGUGGCCCUCAGCAGAAGCUGAGCAGAUGCCAGUGCUAUGCUUCCCAUACUUGCCAGCUGGCAUAACUAUAGCUAAAUAAAUUCUUGUCUUUAUAAUUUACCCAGUUUCAAGUAUUCUGUUAUAGCAACACAAAAUGGACUAACAUACUAGGGAUGUGAUUUUUGAUACUUUGAGAAACUGGGAAAGUGGCCCGAGGUCUAAGAGCUGGAAACAAACAGUAGAACCAGAAUGUGAAUCCAGAUCUAUGAUAAAACUAUGGAGAAGAAGAUGGAGCCAGAAGUGUACAAGCCCCUCCCUUCUCUGAAUCCCAUCCCAUCCAGCAGAAGAGGCAAGUGUAUGUGGUUUUGGAGCAUUAGAUGAAGCAUCUUACAAAUUUCCUGUAAACGUGUGUGAUAAAAUGUGAACAAAGAUGAAACGGCUGCAUUUUGAUUCCUGGCUUCAUGUUGCCCACAAUGGUCCACAAAUGAUUGGAGUUCCCUGGUCACCAUCUUUCUCUCUAAUUGAUAAGUUGAGCUCUGUGCCAAGAGCUCAGUCAGGUAUGCCUCAGUGGAAAAAUGUAAUAUUUCAAUUCUGACUUACCUAAAGGCCAAUAUCACAUGGCCUACAGUCUGUGGAUGUGCCCAGUUGGUAUCAAUUGCAUUGCUUAUGGCAAAUACAAUGCAGAUGAGGUCCUUCAUCAAGAAAUCAGAACCUAAUCCAAUAAAACCUGCUCAUGCAAGCAAAAGCAGUCUUGAGUAUUUCAAGAUGCCCAGGGGCUGAGAGACAACCCCAUCCAAGGAGUGUUCAUGGCGUUUGCACUCUUCUAAAACAUUCACUUCUAAGAAUAUGUACAAAAUAAGGGUGGAGUUGGACGUAGUGAAAAACCUCCGAUAAGUCGCAGCAAACCAAAACUGGCUUUUAAGGAUCUUGAGCUCAGCAGCAACAUACACACUGAGGUCUUAUAAUCCUUUGGAUGGAAUAAGGGAAUUCUCCUUUAUACGAAAAAAAUAUUUUGAGAUAUUCAGGCACAAACAGAGACUGUACAUUUUGGCAGGAAACUCAUCUGGAAUUUUAAAGCCAAAAUUAUAAGUUCGAAAUGAGAGAAAAGAGAACCACAGUCAG
rnacentral:lncRNA from 1 species